UACGUAGGGGGCGAGCGUUGUCCGGAAUCAUUGGGCGUAAAGAGCUCGUAGGCGGCUUGGCAAGUCGGGUGUGAAAUCUCCGGGCUUAACUCGGAGAGGCCACUCGAUACUGCUAUGGCUAGAGUCCGGUAGGGGACCAUGGAAUUCCUGGUGUAGCGGUGAAAUGCGCAGAUAUCAGGAGGAACACCGGUGGCGAAGGCGGUGGUCUGGGCCGGUACUGACGCUGAGGAGCGAAAGCGUGGGGAGCGAACAGG
rnacentral:rRNA from 1 species